AACACCGGUAAAGACUACAGUGCAAUUAAACAACUGUUAGUGGAUCUGUGAUCUACUAAUCAAAUUUUUAAGUUAUGAACAUGAUAAUUAGACAAAAUUAAUGUUAAGUACUUAAAGUUAGAGUCUUGAGAGUUUCCGGGUAAAAAUUUGACGACGGAUCAGUUAAAAAUUACACCGGGUCUCACUAAAGGACGAAUAUCACUUAAGUGACAUGGCACCCCUCAUUAGGGCACCCUCCUCUCCUUCCCUUCCAUUUCUGAUCAGCAGCCCCUUCACCUCCUUCUCUCUCUAAGUUUCAAAUUUUGAAAACUCUCUCACUUCUCUCUAAGAUUUCUUCACCUAAAUCUCUCUAAACCACCAAACUUCCUUCACAAAGAUUGUUCCCCUCACUCUCCUCUUCACAACCAUACCAUUUUCAUGGUGUGAAUCAAAAAUUUCGUGUCCCUUAUCAUCCCAAACAGCCAUGGUUUUGUGGAGAGCAAAGGCUAUGGAGUUGUGUUCUUGAGCUCUCUUGAAGAAUCACACUUGCUUGCUUGUUUCCUUUGAUUUUUGGGUGUGUGCUUGCCUAAAGGUGUGUUCUUGGUGGAAAAAGGUGGAGACUUGAGCUAAAGGAGAAACCUUGAAGAUGUGUGCCUAGAGAACCGUGCACUUGAGGAUUUUGUUGGAGC